CUAGAGUAGUACUAGAAUGGGUGACUUCAUGGAAGUCCACGUGUUGUACCAUUUUUUUUGCAGACGAGGCGUUAAACGUUACGCGGGACUGAAGUGACGGUCUACCAGUUUAUUUACAAAUGUGAGUAAUGUCGCCGGGGUAUUUUGCUCAAUAUUUUUCGUGCAUUCAAGUAUAGCCCACCACGUGAUAAGAUACUCGCUCAAGCAGGCAUAACUGUAGAGUU
rnacentral:lncRNA from 1 species